rnacentral:rRNA from 1 species
CCUUCGGGAACUGUGAGACAGGUGCUGCAUGGCUGUCGUCAGCUCGUGUUGUGAAAUGUUGGGUUAAGUCCCGCAACGAGCGCAACCCUUAUCCUUUGUUGCCAGCGGUCCGGCCGGGAACUCAAAGGAGACUGCCAGUGAUAAACUGGAGGAAGGUGGGGAUGACGUCAAGUCAUCAUGGCCCUUACGACCAGGGCUACACACGUGCUACAAUGGCGCAUACAAAGAGAAGCGACCUCGCGAGAGCAAGCGGACCUCAUAAAGUGCGUCGUAGUCCGGAUUGGAGUCUGCAACUCGACUCCAUGAAGUCGGAAUCGCUAGUAAUCGUGGAUCAGAAUGCCACGGUGAAUACGUUCCCGGGCCUUGUACACACCGCCCGUCACACCAUGGGAGUGGGUUGCAAAAGAAGUAGGUAGCUUAACCUUCGGGAGGGCGCUUACCACUUUGUGAUUCAUGACUGGGGUGAAGUCGUAACAAGGUAACCGUAGGGGAACCUGCGGUUGGA